rnacentral:lncRNA from 1 species
GUCAAUACAACUGAAGCACCAAGUAUUUACAUACCUUCAAAAACUAAGUACCACUAAAAUAUAUGUUUUACUUACAAACAAGAAUAAGACAUCUCUAGAGUCAAUUUCUAUUCGAAUAACAACCACCCUAAAAGCAAAUUUUCUUCCGGUAACUUGUGCACUGAUGAACCAUAUUGCCAGCUAUGUUGGUUUACUCAUGCGCAUCCUACAAGAAAAAGAUAAAUCAUAAUCAUUUCUUUUAAUAAAUAAAAACUAUAAAGUACGCAAGUACAUGCCAAAAGAUGGAAGUUAUUUGAUACUAGGAACAAGGAUAAAAGUAUGAAUCAUGUAGCGGAGGAUAAUCAGGUAGGAGAAGUUCCCAACGUUGACAAAGGUCCUAUGAAGCUAGCAGUAGUAAGUAAUGAAGCACAAAAUCAAUUUUCAGAUAAGGUCAAUGACAUGGGUGAUGCAGGGCAAAGUCGUGUAGUGGCUAGGAGUGAUGCUGUGGGUGUUAGUGUUUCAGCUGCACCACAUGCUGCAAUUCCAGUUGUGCCUAUAGAAGAGAAGUUGAAGUUGGACAAGGGACCUCCUAAACCCUCUAGAGAUGUCCCUGCCUCUGCUAUAUUUACACGAAUGUACCUAGCUACUACUGGCGCAUUAAAAGCUGCUGCAGAUCGAUCUACAGGUAAUGCACCUCAUGUGCAGGAUGGUGAGGAGUUUGGUCGAGUAGCAUUAAUGUUUGAUGGAAAAAGGGAAAAUAUGAUCAAAAAACCUGCUCCUGCAAAUCCAGAAGUUGGUACUGUUUCAUUAGAAGUAGGUGCAAACCUACAACUACUGAUUGCGUUACUAAAGGUGCAAAUAUCAAAGGUGCUGCUGGAUUGCAUGAGAAGGGAGAGGACUAUGAAAGAGUACAAUUUUCCAGGAGUAAUAGUGGUGCUAAUGAUCCAAAGAAUGUGGCAAAGGUUUGGUCAGUUGUAUCACAUGAUAAAAGGGCUGCGAUAGAUCUUAAAAAGCAGGAAGUUGCAUCAGAAGACAUUAGGUGUGCUAAUGCUUUUGAUGCAUUGGCCAUUGAACAAGAAGGUAGAGAGUUUGAUCAUACUAAGAAAUUGGGACUGGUAUGCAGUGCAACACUAAAUCAGAAAUCACAAGAUACUAAUGUUCAAUUACAUGGCGCAACAAACAGUUCAGUUUCAAGAAGCAGCACAAAUCUUGGUCAAGCACUUGCUAAUGUGAAUGAGAUCGAAUGGAAGGCUACUGAUGCAAAUAUGCAACUUAUGGCUCUAGAUCAAAAUGAAGGGAAGGUAACCCCUACAAUUCACUUCUCCAGUCCUCAGGUGGAGAAAAUUAUCAAACAUUCACAGAUCGAAAUGAUGAUGUAUGCCAAUCCUAUGUUCAAGCAACCAUUGGUCACCUUGAACACAUCGGUGUAUGACAUUCCCUCUCAAUCUUGUGAGUCAAUUGGUGAGCAUUGGGAUGAAUCUGGGCAACCAUCAAUGUCCACUGGCAAUAAUAAUCAGAUUAUACAAGCCAAGGAGAGGGAGAUGGCUAUCAAAUCAAAGUUGUGGGAUGAUCAGCGAGAGGAGGACGAUGAAGAAUAUUUGGGUGAUGGUUUCGCUGGGUACUCAUCAGAGGAGGCAGAUCAUGACAAUGGUAAGGAGAGUGCAGGGGAAGAACUUGAGUCAUUAGCACUAUCAAAACCUAUUGGUGCACCAGCAACAAGUCACAAGAGUAAGUUGAAUGUCAAUGCUCCAGUUUUUCUGCCCAACAAUUCUCCAAAGAAAACAUCGAGUCGAACAGCAGCAACACAAACACCUCACACAGGUCCAGCUGCUAAUGAUCGGACAGAUGCUGCAAUUGAACAGCAGCAGCAGGCAGCACUAUCAACUUUUGGCCAGCAACAACAAAAUACAACCAAUUCAGCUGUUUCAAUGUUACAGUCAAAGGCAGGAAAGGAGCAGCAGGAUUUAAAUGCAUCAUUGAUCACAGUGGAGGACAGAAAAUUACUCGACGCGAUAGUAAGUUCCAAAACUGUAAACUUGCAAAAUUAGUCUGCGUUUAGCAUUUGUCGUGUGAUAAAAAAACAGGAAAAUACAAGACAUACAACAACAACAAUAAAACAAGGCAAUUGUGGCAAAUGCACAAGCAGAAUAAGUUUGGUACAAAGCCAAAGAUGACUUUCACAAAGCCAGCAACUAAUUUAUUUGCGAGCCCUGAAGGCAAAGUUCAUGAUACACAUGGUGGCGGCGACAACAUACUAGAUAGAAUAUCAAUGAACAUUAUCAACGAAGGAAUUUAAUUUUACAAGAGCCAGACGAAGUUUUCUUACAAUGAUAUCAUCCAUAAUCUUGAACAACUUGCCUCAUCUAAACCACUUAAAUUAGAAAUAAUGUUGAGAAAUGCAGCGAAAACUCCAUUAUGUUAAACAUAGAAAAACUACAUAAUUAAAUUGGCAUACAAAUCAGUGGAAAGGAAUGAUAUAGGAACGAGGAAGAUACAGAGAUAAUGCGACAAGAGUAAUUUAUGGAUUCAGUUGUUUUAAUAUCUUCUUUUCCCUAAUCAAAAUGUUUUGUUUUCUCGAUCUCUUUGUCUAAUUUUGCAUUUACUGCCGGUGAACCUCAACUAAGAGCUGUUUUUUUUGCCACUCCGAUUUAAUUUUGCAGUUGUAUUAACUUACUUCCAGGCAUACAUAAGCCACUCACCUCAGCCAGCUUCAAUAGGAUAUAUCAGGAGUAACUGCACCAUAGCUAAAUCUCAUAACUAAUUUAUUCUAUAAAAAGUGCUUUUCUUCUAGCAAUCCAUUCCCUAAUUAAACCUUUUUCUGUGUGUUGCUUGUCACAGAAAAGGCAAACAAUAAUGUUAUCAGAUUUUUAAAAGUUGAUUAUAUUCUAUCAAAGACAAUGUAAGGCUUUGUCUAUCUUGAUCUUCUUGAACUUAAGCAACCAAGAGCUAGUUUUUCGGCCACUCAGAUUUCAUUUUUGCAUGUGUAAUAACUUUCUGCCUGGCAAUACAUAAGCCAUUCAGCUCGGCCAAUCUUGUUAAGAAAUAUUUUACCUUUUUCUAUUUCUUGUGUCCCCUUUACAGUGAAGUGUAUUUGUCGUUAUUUUUGAUAUUUUCUCUUUCAAAUAGACUGUCUUAAUCACUUCAAGGCCGCAGCUUUUUCACUCCGAGCUCUUGGAUAGAUGCUAAAGUUGUUGUUUUGAGCAGUGUACUCUUAGCACCUGCAGUGUUCCCAUAUCCCACUCUCUCUUAGUUCUAUCUCAGAAUCUAUUAAUGUCUAAGACAAAGUAUGUGCUCUUCUUUAAAAAAAAAUCACAUAGGAGCUCUAACGUGAUUCGAUUCAGCUAUGGUUGGACAUUUUUUUUCUUUUACACUUUCUCGUGUAACUAGUUUUCUAAGACUUUUCUUUUCUCAAAAAAUAAAUAAUAUAAAUACAUAGUAAAACAGUGAUUUUUUUCCAAAGUUGGAAAUCAUCUACAAUUACAAAUCACCCCGUACUACAAUGAUACUAGUAAUAUUCCAUGGUUCUGAUGAUUAGUCCAAAGUUUACUUUAUGUGGGCCUCAAUGAAUAGCAAUACACAUGAAUAAAUUAAAUAUUCAAAAACCAAAAAUUGAACAGGGGAGAUGAAGAGAACUUUUCAUGAAUGAAACAUAUCCAACACCAAACUAGAUACACCUCUGGUUCAAAAGACAGUAGUAUGAUAUUUUUAGAGAAGGAGACAAAUAUGAGAUUGCAAAUUUUUAUUUUUUUAAUUAUAUACAAUGUGUAUAACCAAAAGCAAUGUGGGAAGUUCUUGGAGACAAGAGGGGUUGCUCUGAUGGAAAGCGACCCCCACUUCCAACCGAGAUGUUGUGAGUUCGCAUCUUCCCAAGAGCAAGGUGGAAAGUUCUGGGAGGGAAGGAUGCCGGGGUCUAUUUGGAAACAGCCUCUCUACCCUAGGAUAGGGGUAAGAUCUGCGUACACACUACACCCAGACCCCAAUAAGUGGGAUUAUACUGCGUUGUUGUUGUUGUUGUAUAAACCAAAAGGAGGAAGAGGAGCUACAUAUUGGAUUCAUAAAUAUAAAGUUAGCCGAGGUUCAAAUGAUUGUGGAUGCAACACAAGCAAUUUACUUAAAACACGGAACAGAUGAGGAUUUCGGUCAAUAUCAACACCUAAGUUUUGAUAUACUUUAUUGGAAAACAUUAUGAGAUCUUAGACUAGUAAUUUAGGAUAUUAUUCUGUGAUUGACUUGAUUUUGCACAUGAAGAAACGUGAACGACUUUCUUUUUAGGGCUGCCGUAUAAUUGAUCAAACCAUAAGGAAUUAAAGGAGAAAAAUCAUAAAUCCUAUUCUGGAAUAUCACAAUUUAAGAUUCCCAUACCCAGCUGGAUAUUUUUAGCAGUCCCCCAAUAUAUAUUCUCAUCAAGAUUCAUAGCAAAGUAACAGUAGUUCACAAACUUGGAUCAUCUAUAGCUAUAUCUAGGUAGUAUACUUGUUAUUUUCCUGAAUGAAUAUUGGGAGGAUUUUACUAACUAAAAAGAGCCUAUUGACAGGACAACGUUCUCAUUUAUCGACGAAGAUAAAGAAUAAAACGGAGAAUGAAUCUGAAAAGAGAAAUCUAAUUAGAAAGAGAACAUCAGAAGAUUCCAUACCUAAAUAAGUAUUUCAAUAAUAAAAGGCAAUCAGAAACGGUAUUUCCAUAAUUCAGUGAAGCCGUAAUCGGGUGAAGCAAUUGAAAGAGUACUUACAGGUUCUUUUCCGAUCCAAUAUGAUGCAACAACGAGGGCGCAACAGAAAAGCAGCUCGUUCAAGAUCGCUGAUAAGAAAAACCCUAGCCAGAAUGGUUAGUAAGUAGUGCGCUAAAAAUUUGGGAAAAGUUAUUAAAAAGUGAAAAGUUUGGCGCGUUUAAUUUUGGCGGAAAAUUAGAAGGUUUUAGCCCACAUCCACGCAUCUUAUUGGGAAAUAUGUAUUGCCAACAAAAAGAAUUUAUUGUUGCUAGUUCUAUUUUUAUUUUAAAUUUAUUUAUGUUAAAAAUUCUAUUUUUUGCAAUAACUAAAAUUAGUUGUUGCCAUUUAUUAAAAUUCAGCAACAUUACCAUAGUUGUUGCUAGAACGUUGUGGGCAAUUUUUAAAAUAAAAUUUAUUAUCUCAACAUUAACACAUUUGCCAACAACAAAAUUUUGUUGCCAAAAAGUAUAUGCUAUAGCAACAAAUUAUGGAGUUGUUCCCAUUUAUCCAUUUUAGCCAAUAAUAUUUCAAUUGUUGCUAAAAAGUUGCAAAUUUCAUACUUUCUUGUAGUGUAAAAAAUUACAAAUCAAAUGUAUUUAAGACAAAAUAGGCAUGAAGUAAUACCAAUAGUUUCAUGCACUUUCAUGCACUUAAACCAACAAGUCUAAAGUGAAAAAAUUGCAGUUUAGAUGCACUUAUGACCAAAUUAGUUUGAAGUACAACUAACGUUUUUAUGCACUAAAGGCCAAAUAGGCGUGAAGUGCAAAUUGCCCAAAUACAUAAAUUUGUUCUUCGAAUUUUAACAAUCCAAUAUACGAUUUAACACCUAAAUUUACUAUACAAAUGAGUCAAAUUUGAAACACAAUAUCCAAAUAUCAUCAAGAACAAACCCCAAUUAUCAAUAUUAUAAAAAAAAAAAAAAAUCUAAUAAACUCAUUUUGUAAUUAAGAAAAAGAAGAAGAAGAAACCCUAAGCAAUAGUAAAAGAUAAAGCACCCACCGCACUAUAAUAUUAUAACCUACCUUAAAAUAUAUUCAUAAAUAUUACUGUCACCCAAGAAAGAAGAAGAAGAAAUCAGUAAUAGCCCAAAUGUUUUGACAUUUAGUGACCUAGGACCAAAAUCAUGCCUUCGAUUUUCAUGUAGAAAUGAAACUUAGGAAUUAACGAGUGCAUUUUGAAUUUUAAUUUUUCAGUUUAUUUUUUUAGCAUAAAAAUAUUUGAAUCGUCUUAAAUAAAGAUUUUUAAUUUAAAAUUUUGAAAUAGAAUAAUCCGGCCUAAUACCUAAAUAGGUAAUGACUGUAUGUGCAUUUGAUCCAAUUUUCAGCGCUGCCACCCGGCCCACACGUAGUCGGUAAGAAUUAUAGCAAAUGGCACUUGAAAGCAGAGUUAAUUUGGACGGCCAAUUAGAACAAACAAAAAUAAAAUUAAGCGCUUCAAGGAAUCAUAAAACCAGGAAAUGAGAAGAUUAAAAUAAGAGACGAUGGAC